rnacentral:rRNA from 1 species
CUGGCCUUGACAUGCCACUNACGAAGCAGAGAUGCAUUAGGUGCUCGAAAGAGAAAGUGGACACAGGUGCUGCAUGGCUGUCGUCAGCUCGUGUCGUGAGAUGUUGGGUUAAGUCCCGCAACGAGCGCAACCCUUGCCAUUAAUUGCCAUCAUUUAGUUGGGCACUUUAAUGGGACUGCCGGUGACAAACCGGAGGAAGGUGGGGAUGACGUCAAGUCCUCAUGGCCCUUAUGGCCAGGGCUUCACACGUAAUACAAUGGUCGGUACAGAGAGUUGCCAACCCGCGAGGGGGAGCUAAUCUCAGAAAGCCGAUCGUAGUCCGGAUUGUUCUCUGCAACUCGAGAGCAUGAAGUCGGAAUCGCUCGUAAUCGCGGAUCAGCAUGUCGCGGUGAAUACGUUCCCGGGCCUUGUACACACCGCCGUCACGCCAUGGGAGUGGGUUUUACCAGAAAGUAGUUAGUCUAACCGCAAGGGGGACGAUUACCACNGUAGUAUUCAUGACUGGGGGA